GAAAUGCGAUAAGUAAUGUGAAUUGCAGAAUUCAGUGAAUCAUCGAAUCUUUGAACGCACAUUGCGCCUAUUAGUAUUCUGGCGGGCAUGCCUGUCCGAGCGUCAUUUCAACCGUCAAGCCCCCGGGCUUGUGUUGGGGACCUGCGGCUGCCCGCAGGCCCUGAAAACCAGUGGCGGGCUCGCUGUCACACCGAGCGUAGUAGCAAUCACCUCGCUCAGGGCGUGCUGCGGGUUCCGGCCGUUAAACAGCCUUACAAAACCCAAGGUUGACCUCGGAUCAGGUAGGAAGACCCGCUGAACUUAAGC
rnacentral:misc_RNA from 1 species